CCUACGGGAGGCAGCAGUGAGGAAUAUUGGUCAAUGGGCGCGAGCCUGAACCAGCCAAGUAGCGUGAAGGAUGACUGCCCUACGGGUUGUAAACUUCUUUUAUAAAGGAAUAAAGUGAGGCACGUGUGCCUGUUUGUAUGUACUUUAUGAAUAAGGAUCGGCUAACUCCGUGCCAGCAGCCGCGGUAAUACGGAGGAUCCGAGCGUUAUCCGGCUUUAUUGGGUUUAAAAGGAGCGUAGAUGGGUUGUUAAGUCAGUUGGGAAAGUCUGGGGCCCAAACGUAAAAUUGCAAUUGAUACUGGAAGCCUUGAGUACAGUUGAGGUAGGCGGAAUUCGUGGUGUAGCGGUGAAAUGCUUAGAUAUCACGAAGAAUUCCGAUUGCGAAGGCAGCCUACUAAACUGCCACUGACAUUGAUGCUCGAAAGUGUGGGUAUCAAACAGGAUUAGAUACCCUUGUAGUC
rnacentral:rRNA from 1 species